rnacentral:rRNA from 1 species
GACGAACGCUGGCGGCGUGCUUAACACAUGCAAGUCGAACGGUCGGCACUGGAAGGUUCGCUGGAAGGUGCCGGUAGUGGCGGACGGGUGAGUAACGCGUGAGGACAUGGCUCCAGGAGGGGGAUAACGUUUGGAAACGGACGCUAAGACCCCAUAUGCCGGAAGGUGAAACUGGUGCAAGCCAGCCUGGAGAGUGACUCGCGUCCUAUCAGCUAGUUGGUGGGGUGAAGGCCUACCAAGGCGAUGACGGGUAGCCGACCUGAGAGGGUGGCCGGCCACACUGGAACUGAGAUACGGUCCAGACUCCUACGGGAGGCAGCAGUGGGGAAUAUUGGGCAAUGGGCGCAAGCCUGACCCAGCGACGCCGCGUGGGGGAAGAAGUCUUUCGGGAUGUAAACCCUUGUUGUACGGGACGAAACGAAUGACGGUACCGUACGAGGAAGCCCCGGCAAAACUACGUGCCAGCAGCCGCGGUAAACUGUCUACG